CGGACUGGGCCUGGGUUAGAGGGGGCUUGGGCUGGCUCUGGGAGCAGGCGGCUUGCAAGUGCCCCUGCUCCCCUGGCUGGAGCUCCGUCAGGGUCAGUGGACCUUCCUGGGGUCUGGGAACUUGGCGGAAGGAAUCUGAGAUCUCAAGAACACUCGAGGUCUGGUGACGGCGGCCUCACAACCUCCCCUAUGAGCCCACCGGGCCCUUGGCCCACCACCUGUCGCCCCUCCGCGGCCUCCCGGCGGCGGCGUCUCUGGGGCUUGGAAAACCCAGGCAGGUUUCACUGGUUCACCAGUUUGCCUGGGUGGGUCAGGUUGGG